CUUGAGUCUUUGAAAAACCAACAGUUUCCAUAGGUCAGUUCUGACAUAAACAUAAGAAAUAUUUAGGUCAAGCUACGGAGCUGAUGGUGGUCGCUCAAUAAAAAGAUGUGCCCUGAACGAAUGCUUCCAUUUUUCAGAAGAGCAAUAUGUGGCUACAGAGUGCAUUUCCCAAGCUUACACGAUUUGAAGAACAAAAUGGUGACAUCUCGCAGACUUGAUGCCUUAGAAGAUAACAAUAAGUUAGCAGAACAGCUGGAAACUUGGAAGCCUUAGAAAGAAAGAGUCACAAAGGGGAAAAGCCCCCAAAUUUGACUACAUAUGUGUUCAAGUCCUUGGCUGACCCCCAAAUUAUGCAGGCACAAAAGAGAACGUUCACCUAAAAAGCACAAGAAUUCCUAAGAACAAAGCAAAGAUAUGAUAAGCUACAUAAUACAGGGAAGGAAGAAUUUGUAGUUUGAAUGUAGGCAAGCGCAGUAUCGACUAGAACAAAGAAACAAAGGAUCACAAAAUAGACUAUAGAGAUGCAGCAAGGUAUUACCUGCCAUGCCCAGUUUCUGCAUCUCAAGACAAAUAUCCUCAGAUAUUUACAUCUGGUAACUAAUUUGAUUCUCAGAAUGACCUUAUGAGGUCAAGUAGCAACAUCACCAUCCACAUUUUACACGUGUGGACAUGGAAAACUCUUGGGUUUUUCUUUCCCCUAGAAAUUGCUAGUAAAGUUUAUACCACUUAGAUGGGAGAACUUAAAAAUACACAACCAUAAUGAAUGCAGAUUUGCCUGAAGCAAAUUUAUGGGCAUUUUAUUUGGCAAAUAAUAUGAGUAACAGCUUUCACAGCUCUAAAACAAACACAUAUUAACAUUGGUAAUAUUUCUGUGAUCUGAGAAGAUAAAUAAACUGAAAUAUAUUAGACCUACA
rnacentral:lncRNA from 1 species